rnacentral:rRNA from 2 species
GUUUGAUCCUGGCUCAGGAUGAACGCUGGCGGCGUGCCUAACACAUGCAAGUCGAGCGAUUCUCUUCGGAGAAGAGCGGCGGACGGGUGAGUAACGCGUGGGUAACCUGCCCUGUACACACGGAUAACAUACCGAAAGGUAUGCUAAUACGAGAUAAUAUGCUUUUAUCGCAUGGUAGAAGUAUCAAAGCUUUUGCGGUACAGGAUGGACCCGCGUCUGAUUAGCUAGUUGGUAAGGUAACGGCUUACCAAGGCGACGAUCAGUAGCCGACCUGAGAGGGUGAUCGGCCACAUUGGAACUGAGACACGGUCCAAACUCCUACGGGAGGCAGCAGUGGGGAAUAUUGCACAAUGGGCGAAAGCCUGAUGCAGCAACGCCGCGUGAGCGAUGAAGGCCUUCGGGUCGUAAAGCUCUGUCCUCAAGGAAGAUAAUGACGGUACUUGAGGAGGAAGCCCCGGCUAACUACGUGCCAGCAGCCGCGGUAAUACGUAGGGGGCUAGCGUUAUCCGGAAUUACUGGGCGUAAAGGGUGCGUAGGUGGUUUCUUAAGUCAGAGGUGAAAGGCUACGGCUCAACCGUAGUAAGCCUUUGAAACUGGGAAACUUGAGUGCAGGAGAGGAGAGUGGAAUUCCUAGUGUAGCGGUGAAAUGCGUAGAUAUUAGGAGGAACACCAGUUGCGAAGGCGGCUCUCUGGACUGUAACUGACACUGAGGCACGAAAGCGUGGGGAGCAAACAGGAUUAGAUACCCUGGUAGUCCACGCCGUAAACG